UCCAAUCCACUCUGGCAGCACCGUCAGUGCAGGACCUGAUGACAGUUCGAGAUGUUCAAGCGAGGUGAGGUGCUGAAUCGCCUCUGGGAACUGCUUCAAAUCGCCCAUUCCCAGUUCAAGGUGUCGCAGAGAAUGCAGUUCUCCAAGCCAGUCAGGCAACGUGCCAACGGCGGGGCAUUCGUAGAUGCGGAGACGCUCGAGAGAGGUGAGGUUCCGCAUGCUCUCUGGUAACUGUGUCAGGUCAUUGCAGGUGAAAAUACACAACUCUUUCAGCUUAGUGAAAGGCUGCAGCAGUUCCCAGCCAGAUGAUGAUCCUGUAACUUUGCUUAGCCCUAGACUCUUGAGGCGAGGGACCGACGCAUGCAUGCUGGGCAGCUGAUGGGAGAACCUUCCAGUGGAUAGCAACUGCCCAUUGGUUCUGACUAAAAUCAUAUGCUCCAACGAUGGGGGAAAGUAGGGGCUCACAUUUAAUUUUGGGCAGCCAUAUAUGUGUAGACUGGACAGGACAGGGAAAAGAUGUUGUGCUGCCAAUUCUUUCUCCCCAGUUUCAAAACCACUUGAUGUAGUCCACAGCUCCUCUAAAUUAGGCAUGUUCCCCAGCACAAGGGUCUUCAGUGAAGGCAACUCAACAAAUCCUCUCAUAUGCCUCAAGUUUGGAAAUCUUACUAGCGCUAACCAAGUUAGACAAAGGAAAUGGGAUGUGAUAGUUUGCUUCAGCAUUAUGCCACCUUCACAAUAUGAAGAAUCAUUUUGCUUCAUCAUCCAUCCUGGCAAGCAGGGGCCUCUGUAACCAAAGAUCUCCAACAUCUCAAUUUGAGAUGGUGGUUCAAGAGCGUUCAGCACACCCCAAUCAUGUUCCAUAUCUGACACCAACUCUUCUUCAGAAUCACUUAAAGACCAGUUCAGCUCCAAGUGUUGUAUGUUACUCUUCCGCUUCAAGCAAGCCUUCUCUGCAUCACUUGGAUCCUUCAAAUACUUAAGGUUGGUAAUUUCCAAGCGACCACCUAUCAUAUCAAGGUUUUCUAGCUCUGAGAUCCUCGCAUCAUCUGCACCACACCCAACAACAAACAAUCCCAGCUUUCUUAAACGGGUCAGCUGUUCCAACCCUGAUGGUAAGCAACACAGUUCACUACAAUGCUCUAUGUCCAAAACUGCGAGCCUUUUCAAGUUUGCUAUUUCCUUAGGCAACUCCCGUAGCUCCUUGCAUUCCUGAAGGUCAAUACAUUCCAGAGUAUCAAUUGAUGUAACCCAUUGAGGUAGCAUGGUAACUUUGGUUCUAGAAAGGUUCAGAGUACGCAAUGUAGGACAGGAUAAUGUGCUUGGCAGGUCUUGCAAACCCGUACAACCAUUAAAGUUGAUAGUUCGCAAGUUUUUGAACUCCCCAAUGAUGUCUGAUGGUAGUUGUUGCAGAGAUGAACAGUACUCUAUAUCAAGUACACAUAGGUUUCCAAUUCUACCUAAAGAGCUUGGUAUCUCUCGUUGUUUUCUGCACAUAUAUAGUUGCAAGGACUGAAGAACAUAACAAUCACCAAUGGACUGAGGCAAACUCUCAAGAUCAGUAAUGCAACGCAACUCUAGAGUCCUUAGCUUCCGAAGCGUUCCAACAGACUCAGGUAAUGUCACGAAACCUUUGCAGUUAACAAAAUGGAGCGACUGCAGGUUCCAACACCUCGAGAUAGCUUCCGGAACUGUUGUACAACUAACAUUAUGGAUUUCAAGAUACCCAAGAUACUCAAACUUUAAUAUGAAUAGUGAAAACGGAGUAUCAAUUGCAUAGUCCAAAACAACACUGCGCAUACAACAACUAUUCUUCACUGUGGUAUCAACAGAUGGCUUACUGUCAGAGAUAUAUAGAGCACGAACCUUGUCAAAUAAGCCCUUGUCAACAUUCUCAGUGAAUGAACUCAAAGAUAAAUAUCUAUACCUAUGAGUAAAUUCUUCUGUUGUAUGAAUUGGUACACAAGUCACCAGUUCAUCCUUUAGUAUCUGACGAGUGAGAUCAUGGAUCAAAUCAUGCAUGUUGUAUAUAUCAGUAUUCCUGCUCCCAUAAGCUUCCUGAAGAAAUCUGACUUUUACAAGAGAAUCUAAGUAGUCUCUUCCGACAUCUUCGAGUUGCUCUCCAUUCAUUGCAUUGAUGAAUCCAUGAGCUAUCCACUGGGCAAUCAAACGAUCUUUCUGGAUUCCAUAGCCCUUCGGGAAUAUGGAGCAAAACGUAAAGCACUGCUUCAGUUCAUCUGCCAAGUGAAUAUAGCUCAACUUCAAGGAUGCAAACACUCUGUCUUUUAUACUCUGAACCUUCCAUAAAUUAUUCUCUCGUAUGGCCCUCCACGUACUUAUUUGCUUCUUGUCACAAAGGACUGCUCCAAGAGUCUGAAUCGCUAACGGCACCCCACCACAUCCCUUGAUAAUCUCUUUUCCGACUUGUACCUCAUCGCAGCUCAAAUCUUGCUCUGCCAACCCAGAACCCUUCAGGAAUAAGUUCCAACUCUCAGACUCUGAUAAGAAUGCCAACUCAAAUGUAUAUCUUGAUUCCACAGCUUGUGCAACCUUUCGAUCACGAGUGGUUAACACAAUCCUUGUUUCAGGUGCGCCACAUUUUAGCUGCACCAUGAACUGUUCCCAGUCAUGUCUGUCCUCAUGCCAAGCAUCAUCAAGGAUAAGAAGAAACUUCUUAUUGCUCAACUUCUCGGAGAUUUUUUGGACCAUGUGCUGUGGGGGAUGACGAUCUGAAUUAUCUCCAACAAUCGUUUCAAAUAGCUUGCCGAUGAGCUUCUGAACAUCAAACUCUUGAGACACAUGGACCCAGAAUAUUUCACCUCCAAAGUGCUCCUUUAUCUUGACGUCAUGGCAAAUGUGUUUGGCCAAAGUAGUUUUGCCUGACCCCCCUAAUCCGAUGAUAGAAACUAUCAUGUUGUUCUCUCCAGCAUUACAUUCUACAAGCUUAGAUAUGAUUUCAUCCUUUUCUUGAUCCCUAAGGGGUAUUUUGGACUCUGGAACCUUGCUCAACCAGGUCAUCUCUCCAACUGUCUUGUACCUAGCACCAACAUGUUGAUCCCUUGUUGGAACUAAAGUAUUGAAAUCACUUCUUUGCUUGACGAUUGCAGCAAAUCUAACCUUGAUUGCCUUGAUCUUAUGAGCCAUCUUGUAUCGGAAUGCAAAUGACUUUGGUUUUGCACAGAAGCAACCGGCUAUACCACUCUUGUCAUCAUCUCUUUCCAUCUUCUGUUUCUCAGCUUCUAGCUGGACUUCUUGUAGUAUAUCGUCAAUGUCAUAAGCCACAUCUUUCAAUUUUAUCACCCAGUGAGACUGUGUCUCACUCUGUAUUGCUCUGUCAUACGCUGCCGACAGCCAGCCUGUAAUGUCUGCGUGUAUAUCCUGGAGCUGGCAGAGAUCUCUUUUUACACCGGCUAUGGCAGCAAACUCAGUGGCUAACAGUGAAACUAGCUUGUCACCUGCAGCCUUCAACACUCCAGAUGCUAAAGCAGCCUCCAUCCCACUCAUUAUGUCAAAGAAACUGUUGCCUAAACCCCUGCAGAUGAAAUUGAAAAACAAGCGGUUAGAUUGAGUUUCGCAAAUCCAAAACUAGUUAGGUGGCAGCAGUAAUGUUUCUUAGGAAAAAUAACUUUUUAGGAAAUGUGGCGGCAGAAAUGUUCCAAUAAUAAUUCUCAACUCUGGAAUAAAUUAACGGCCGACAAAAUAUCUGAGAGUUACAGGCCACGCCGCCGCCCGGUCCAGACGCGGCGGCCAUGUCCUCUCUCUAGCGCCAGGCCAGCUGCAGCACCCUGCUGCCAUGCAGCCUGCCCUAGGGGGCUGUUGUUCCUCCCAUCUAAUCCCCUCUGACUCCCCCAAUCUACCCUCUAAUUAAGUGAAGUCACCCCAGAUGGGACAUGUACAACAUGAGUGAUUUGCAGAUUAUAUGUUUCGAACGAAAUGGACAAAUAUUGUCCGUAUCGGCUAAAUAUCUUAUAUGGAUAACACAAAAAGUCAUUUGGAUGCUGGAAAAUAGAUCUACUAGACCGAUCGGCGUGAAAACAAAUGGAAAAUUAAUUUGCAUACCAGGUGAACGAGGACACACACAGCAGAAGCAGCAGAGCACCGACAGUAUGACACUUUGAUGCAACCAGAUAAGGGGCUUUUUGUUCUUCUUCUUGUGAAAGAGGUGAAGGGAAUCAGUAUGCUUGACGCUCACUGGGAUUGACACAAAAAAAAAAGAAUGAGUUGGUCAUCGAAGAAAUUCUAGGAUUAACAGAAAAAAAACGUGAGUUGGUGAUUGAAGAAAAUGACCAGGGGAGAAAGCGGGAGGAGAUGUGAGGAAUUAGAUUGUGCGUGUUGUGUUAGGCUUAAACCAAAGCAGAUUAAGUACCUAAACUCAACAACUGCGGCGAGGCUACAACCCAACGAGAAAGAGGAAAUGGAAUUUCGGUGCUUCAGCUUCACUCGAGGAUGCAAAGAAACCUGCAGAUCUGAAAGGCAGGUGGGUGAUGAAGAAAAUGAGCAGGUGGUUGAACCCAACGAGAAGGAGAAACGGGAUUCAGGCAAAGGUCAUCCUCAUUACCUCGGUCGCGUCGGCGGCGGCGACGACGACGAGAGGCCUCCCGCCCCUAGUCGGGUUGUGCGCGGAGGUCGAUGGUCAGUGAACUCACUGCUCACUUCUCACGCGCAUCGAGACUCCACGGAGACGAACUCGAUUGCGACUGAGCACCGGACGAUGCUAGUCGACUGAGUUGGGUGGUGGAUCCCGGCGGCCACUGUGACAGCAUGAUUGCUUUUCGCCGAAAGCGCGUGGCAAGAGCAUCCACUUCAGUGGAUCCAGAAAAUCCAUCCUCUUUCCCUACAAAGUGUUGGCUAGUUUAGUUCCAAUUUUUUUUGGUAAAUUAUAUUUAGGCCUUGUUUAGUUCCAAAAAAUUUUGCAAAAUUUUUCAGAUUCUCCGUCACAUCGAAUCUUUAGACAUAUGCAUGAAGCGUUAAAUAUAGACGAAAAUAAAAACUAAUUACACAGUUUUAUCAGAAUUGACGAGACGAAUCUUUUGAGCCUAGUUAGUCCAUGAUUGGACAAUAUUUGUCAAAUACAAACGAAAUUGGUACUAUUCACAUUUUGCAAAAUAUUUUGCAAGUAAACAAGGCCUUAACAAAUAUUGUUAGGCUCAAAAGAUUUAUCUCGUAAAUUAUAUUUAAACAGUGUAAUUAGUUAUUUUUUAUCUAUAUUUAGUGCUUCAUGUAUAUACCGCAAGAUUUGAUGUGACAGGAAAAUCUAAAAAAUUUUGUUGGGAGUAGUUCACCCAAAAAACCAAAAACUUUUUCAAGAUUCCCCGUUACAUUGAAUCUUGUGGAACAUGAAAUAUAGAUAAAAAAAAUUAAUUGUAUAGUUUAGGCCUUAUUUAGAUCAAAAAGUUUUUGGAUUUUGACACCGUAGCACUUUUAUUUUUAUUUGAAAACAUUAUCCAAUAAUAGAGUAACUAGACUUAAAAGAUUCGUCUCGCGAUUUACAGACAAAAUGUGCAAUUAGUUUUUGUUUUCAUCUAUAUUUAAUGCUUAAAGCAUGUGCCGCGAGAUUCGAUAUGACGGAGAAUCUUGAAAAGUUUUUGGUUGUCUGGGUGAACUAAACAAGGUCUUAGCUGUAAUUUGUGAGACGAAUCUUUUGAGCCUAAUUAAUCCAUGGUUGGAUAAUAAAAUAAAAGCAUUACAGUACCUAUAACUUUUUACCUUCUCAACUAAACGGCCUUACAAAUAAUAAAAGGGGUUAAUUUAGGAAGAAAAAUAAGCUCUAACAUAUUCUCUUUCUAGUACUCUUCCUUGAACUUUUUUUUUCAAUCUCCCAAAAUCUUCCUCUCCCUUAAACUUUCCAUCAUUGUGAUUGAUCCACAAAAAAAUCCAUGUGAACUGCAAAAAGAUGUUGUGGCAGAGUUUAGAAUCAAGGAGAGCUUAUAAACAGAUUUUAAUUCAUGGAUCAGCAGCCUAAUUUUGGACUCUUGACCGGAGACUCUGUAAUUUUAUUUUUAUCUCUUUUGGUGUGCCUUGAGGCCCCUUUUUACUUACUUCUGCACUUUUUUGUCUCUUUUUUAAAACUUCAUUAUUUCAAUAAAAUCCCUGUAGGCGCUGAGACACCUCUAGUUUCCUAAAAAAAACCCAAAUAAAUCUUGCCUAUUUUUCAAACCUAGCUUCUAAUUACGUCAACUCAAUUUUAUACUUUCAAAGUUAUCUCAUAGACAACUGAAAAGAAUUAACGAUAGCAAAAUACUUCAAAUCAUUACAUGUAUACUUUAUUUAUUGACAAUAGCUAGUUCAUCAGUUGUUCAUCAAUUGUUCAUCCAAUGUGCAUCUGGUUAGUCUCACUGAGUUGAUAUGGUGUUUGGUUGCUUUGCGUGAGAACAUAUGUUGCAAGAUACUCCUAUAAAUUAGGCAAUAAACAUAAUCACGAUAUUUUUUAUACAUGCAACUAUCUUUUAUUGCUCUUCAUUUAUUAUAUUAUUAUCCCUUAAUAUUUUUUAAAAGAAAUACACUAAUACCAAUUAAUACAUGCUAGUCGUGCACUGGUAAUGUCAUUAUCUAGAUAACUGGUGUCAAACGACAGCCUGGAGAAGAACAAGAAAUCUAUGGUUUUUUGACAUACUUUUUAUGUCAAAAUAUAUAGAAUAAAUGUCACAACUUAAGGUUUUUGACAUUCAGUUGACAAAAAUUCAAACGUCAAAAAACUCGCGUCACAAAGUGAUCAUGUGACGUUUAUACAUUCAGUGUCACAAGCUUAUGACAUUGGGUUUUAGUGUCAUACAGAUUUAUGACUUUGGUUUAUCGUCAUAAAAUCUUAAGCCUUGCCACAUGGGCAAAUGCCAUGUAGGAUCAAAAGCUGACAUGGCAGGAAAAAAAACGUCACAAAAUAAGUCUUGGUCUGCUAAAACCCACAUACCAGACAGCCCUCCAUAGGUCACAAGAUUUUUUGGGCCCAUAUUUCCUGGGCCAUUGUUUUAGUUCAUUUAUUAUUGGCCCACACAAUUUCAGCCUGUACAAAUUUUUUCACAGCACACAAUUGAACCCAUAUAUUUUUUCAGCCCAAAAUAUUUUCAGCCCAUACAAAUAUCUCCACAUGAUUGCAAUAUCACAAGCACUUCACAUGUCUUAAAAUACAACACAUUACAUCCAUCCACCAAUUCAACACACAGUCUCAAUAUCUCAAAUUAUAACUUGCUAUAGUAGCACCAGCGGUAGCAGCAGCGGUAGCACCAAUAGUGCAAUUGCCACCAAAAUAGCAUCUUUAUCCUUCUAGACACAUAUGUUGCCAAAAUGAGCCUAAUGCAGUUAGACAGCUUACUACUGAGGAUCAGGUGAUGCAAACUUGUUGCCAAACAAGGUCCGAAGGAAACCUUGGAUUUCAAGGCCUUGCUGUUUCAGCUUCUCAGUUUCUUCUUCGUUCUUCUUGCUGCUUCUUCAUUCUUCCUUGCUGCCUCUUUCUGAUCCUCUAAUUGCUUCUGCACAUCAGCCAGCUGUGAUCUUAGUCCAUCUGAUCCCUUCUUCUCAGCUUGCAAUUCACUCUCAAGCUCAUUCACACGAUCAUUCAUUGCAGCAGCUUUGGCAUUUCUCUUCAUCGCUGCGGACUGCAUGCCAACAUUGUGAAGGAAAGUUGAUUUUGGCAUAACAUGAGCUAUAGCUUGAACAGGAGUCUUUGGAUCUUGCCCUUCUUCCGUUGGUUCAGCAACGUAGGCCUCCAUUUGAGCCUAGCAACAAUAGCACCAAAAAAGUUAGAUUUCAGCACUAGUUAUGUAUUUCUAGAACUCAUGUCUAUAGGUAAAGCAACAUAGUGGAAGAAAUGGAAUGGUAUCUAUCGAGUGGAACCUUCUAUGCUAUAUAUGAAAUGAUCUUCCAUGUUGUUGUAAAGAAUUGUGUACUCAUUUUUCUUUUGAUUUAUUUCUCUAAACAUGCUAAACUGAGUGGCAAUCUAGUGGCUAUCCAAACUUACAAUGUGGCUAUGAUGUUGUUCAUCACAGUAGGAAAUAAGAAAUGGUACUCACAAUGGCAUCCAUUGCUUGCUCAUUAAAACCUGACUUGCUGCUGCAGUGGGUGUCCUUGAAAAUAUCAAUCGCAGUUGGUGGCGCAUCCUUAAAUUUAGUUUGCUUCUGAAAUUACACAAAAAUAGAAAACAAACAGCAGCAACAACACAUUAGCAGCAACAUUAACAUUUAAUUAUUUGUAUCCUAAGAUAGCAUGACACCAGCAGUAUCUUAACAUUUAUUGAAUCACAUAUUUCAUUACAACUGACAUGCUAUAAAUCUAAAACUAUGUUUGAUUUCCAUUAUGCGAGUAGGCCAUGUAGAAGCAUAAAACAAAUGUAGCCGAAUGACCAAUCCAGUUAUUUACAUGAGUAACUAGACAGUAUUUGCCGAAUCCGCAAUCCAAUUAUUCAUAUCAGUAACUAGCCAAAUCACCAUGAAGUGGAUUCAAAAUACCCUAUUUGCAUACUAGAACAUCCUUGAUGAUUUCAGAUCCUUGAGCAAAUAGACCUAAAUAAAUAGCUUUGCAUAUACACUAGACAUUUUUUUUCAUGCAACAAGCACCAUUUUUGGACACAUACAACCUCCUAUAUGAUUUAUCUUACCAUGACAUAGCAUUGAGCAACAUAGCUUCGAGAUCCUGUCAUUUGGUGAUACUGAACUAGCUCACGGCUGCCUUUGUUUUUUAGACAUUUUUCCUGUAGAAAGACAAAUAUUUAUGAACAAACAAUCCAUAUAUUCUAUAAGGCAACAAUUGUGAUAGAUAUUAAGGAAGGGUACCUUGUGCUUUGGGUUAGACCACAUGUCCACGAGUUGUUUCCACUGCAUGUCAGUCAUAGUCGACAAAGGUGAAGUUAUUCUAACUGCAUUUGCUGGUAUGCCAUUAAAGUAUUGCUUUUUCAGCUUGUAUCUCAUCUAUCGUUGUCCUUUUUUGAGCAAAUCAGACAAUGCAUCUUUCACCGGCACAACGUCUUUGUCAAUGGUGAAUUGACUCUGGACAAGAGCAUGCAUAUAUCAUUAAAGGACAAUCAAAUGAUGUUCUGGGAGUAUGCGGCAGCAGCAGCAUCAACAACAAGCAACACAAACAAGUGUCAACUCUAGAUUAUGCAACACUAUAUAAUAGAAUAAUUUGAAUAUAGAGAUAGACAAAGUAUAUGAUCAGCAAGGAAAAAUACACAAAUUUUUCCACCAAAAAAAUUUAUCAUUGUAGUUUCUAACAAAGUAUAUUGUAAUCCAUAAACCACCAAAAAAGUUAUCUUCAACAGCCAGGUUACUUACACUAAGUUUAUCAUUGUAGUUUCUAACAAGAGGUUUGGCGGCAUCCUCCUUAUAAUGCUUCCAGUGAGUGAAGAUUGGAACAUGGUCCCGUAGAAUAAUACCAGCCUCUGAUGCUAGUUUUGCAGCUUGCAAAGGCUCCUCUGGCCGCAAUUUUCCUUCAGAGAUGUUCACUGGGAUCUUGGCUCUUAACCCUCUUGAAAUCAUAUCCAAAUCUCUGCCCAUGUGUCUCUUGGUGAUACAUCGACCUAUCAUGGAGUUUGGAAAACAAUUAGAUAGAAUCAUAGACCCAUUAAUGUACAUAAACAAAUAAUUAAUAGUGGAGAGAGGGUACAAUCACUUGCCUUCAGUAGACAACUCAUUCUGGUUGUUGGACUGAGUAUUAUUAUUGGCAGCCAUCAGUGCAUCUUCUGUGGAACCAUCUUGUGGGUGUACUAUUGGAACUUCAUCGGCUAAGGCCAAUUCCCUUGUCCUCUGCCUGGUAAUCCUUGCUGGAUCGUCUUGCCCUUGAUGUGCCACUGCCAUCACUCUCUUUGAUGUUCUUGUCGAACUCUUGCUAACUUCAGGUUCCAAGUCCAGCAUGGCCUCCUACAUGAUACAACAAAUUACAAGAGAAUGAAUAAUUCUGCAUAUUUGCUCAUGUACUGCAUAUUUAACAUAAAUGUUGGGCUGUCAUCAAGGUACCUUAUCAAAUGCUCCUUGUUCAACGUCUUCACCAUCUUCAGGUUGAUACAAUGAGCCAGAGUCUUCACGGGUAGUAUUAGUGCCCUUUGGUCUUGAAUUUUUUAGAAUAUUUGCUGCCUCUUGUAUUCCAAGACUGCGGAAGAUCCGACUAUUCCGCAUCACUUGUUCCAUCUUCUGCUUCUCAUAGUCAGUUAGUGGAGCCUCUGUACUUGCACGAGAAAAAGAAAUCAUAGUAAAUUAAGCUUCAGGAUCAAGUCUGGUUGAGGGCCGGGUCUUCGGUUUCCGACCAGGAGCCAUCUUCAUGAGUCUAGGAAGCUUGGAGCGGAGUGCUGAGGAUGUCGUUGGGGGCGCAGGGCCUCUUCGGCUGUGGGCAGUGGAGGGCGGCGGAUCCUCUUUCCAGGCAGUAGAGAGGGCAACAAAGUGGCGGCUGCUGCGAGGAGUGAAUUGGAUUGACUAGGGUUUGGGGGAGCAUGAGCUGAAUAGGUCACGGUAUGGGGGUAAUUUUACUGUGCUAUCCUUAUCCAAAGGAGAGUUGUUGUGGUAUAUGUCUGGAUAGAAAUGACAUUUUCACUCCAAAUUUUUUGGUGUGGCGCGGAGACAUAGCGCCACUACGCGGUUGCGCCAGGCCCAGACAUCCAAAAUUUGGUUUAUGCGCUGCUUACUAGUGUCUGCUAACAAAAAUAUUUUUCUAUAAAAUACGAAAUCGGCUUUUAAAAAUAGGAAAAAAAAUAAUCUCAGGCUGGCUAAUCGCAAGUCGCGUAUCUUUUAGCGUAAAAUCGCGUGCUACGCGGUCCGUGGGAUUCGAACCUGAGACCUCGCCCUCGCGCGUACCCUCCUCUACCACUCCACCUACCACUCAGUUGUGUCUAUAUUAGAGUUUAGUUCCCCAUAUACUAUUAUAAACCAAGCAUAAAUUGAUUAUUUGAGGCUCUAAACGAAUAAAAAUAAAAAAAGUUAUCAACUACAAAGUUUCAUAAUUUUUUAGGAUCUGCAACUUUUAUUUUUGUGGGUUUUUCAUACAAGGUUAUUUCAAACCUUGAUGCUUUAGUUGUAUACACGGAGUAACCGAGGAAGUCUUAUAAAUAGAGAGUCAAGCUCGGGUACUAAUACAACAUCGAAGAUCUGGACGCAAAGUUCAACAAUGAGCAGCUUCUGUUAUAUAUACAAUAAAACGUGCUGGCCAAUCAAACAUUGGUACGUAGCUUAGUGGCGUGAUUGCUUCAAAGUAACUUGGAGGCUUCGGCGCGCAUGACCCAUUUUAAAGAAAAAAAAUAAGACAUAACCAAAAUAAAGAAAUAAAUAAUAAAAAAAAUAUGCUACGUGCCAAUUCGAAUGCCACUAUGGACAAGAACAUUUAAAAUAAUUCAAUAAAAUAAGUGAUGACACAUAACAUUUGUCAAAGAUUUAUGACAUUAGAAAAUUAGGACUUGUGACAUAGCAAAUAUUGUCACUAGAUGGAAUUGGACUAGUUGUAUGACGUUUGUUAUGACAUCCAACUUUUUAUUGUCACUAAGUAGAGAUACAUGAAAUAGAAUGUCAUAAAUCGGAUGAUAUAAUGACAUUAUUACCUUUUGUCAUACUAAAAACGUCAAAAAACCACACAUAUCUUGUAGUGGAACCCCAAAAAAAUCUACUCCCUCCAUCCCAAAUUAUAAAAAUAUUAAACAAGGCCUUAACAAAUUCUGGAUCCAAACAACGCUCAGUUCGAACUCAUCUGGCAGGAGGAUGGUGUACUACCAGCUGAUGAUGAGUAGUGGGAUCCUAACGUGGGUAGUGUUGGUGUCCUGGCAACACAUAGCUUGCACGUAGGCGUGCUCAUUCUGGGCCGUCCAUUCCAUGCUUGCACUUGCACGGACCACACGCGACGCGAUCCCUCGUUUAAUUUGUCCGCGAUCGAUCGCGGCUGGUGUCCCUGGCGCUGGCGGCCUGAUGAUGAUCCAACAGCAGUGCCAGUACAGCACACCAACGCCAACGUACGCCGAGGAGGAGGAGGAGGAUAAAGGAGAAGAAGAAGACCAAAAUCCAUCCAUGGAGUCGCACGCACGGGCCUCACGAGAGGAGAGACCAUGACCUGUGGCCCCUCGUAGCAGUGGCAAACCAGGGGGCAGGGGCAGACUAGGCCGUGUGUGGGGAUUGCACGCCGCCGAUUUCGUGUCCUUGCAGCCUCCUUCUCAGUUCUCGCACACUGCCACACACACAGCUGACCUGCCGCUGCCGCUGCCACUGCCAGGAAGGUAGGGAGAGGCCAGGAUGCCCCGCGGCGGCUUCUCGGGGUCCCUCAGGUCGCCCAAGAUCGACGUCGUCAUCGACAUGGGGAACCCCUUCCUCAACCGCGCACCGUCGACGGCUUCCUCAAGAUCGGCGCCGUCGGCGCCUGCAAGGUGGCCGCCGAGGAGACCUUCGACUGCCUCCACAGGGGUGAGUACGUUCGCCUCUUCCUCCGUUCCUCGACCCCUUUAUUCGUUGUAUCCAGUCAUGCUGCAUUCCAUAGAGCCCAGUAACCUUGUUAGAUGCAAAAAAAAGUUUCGAUUUUGCGGAACUCAUGUCAGACAUUGAUACGGUGUUGCCCCCAAAACGUUUGGCCGUUGCGCUCCACUCUACGCAGAUAGAUAGAUUACUAACCAUGAUGUUGGAUUAUGGAUAAUGGACUGGAGUGGAAUCGCUCUGCCUCUGCAAGUGGAUUCAGAGAGCGAAACAAGGGGUGCAGACAUAACCCCAGACUAUAAUUUGUAGUGCAGCCUGAAUAUCACACACUCAGUCUUUAUUGAGUUUUUCUGUGCAGUUCUGUAACCUGCAUUUUACAUUCAGUCAUGAUUGAAUAUUUGAAUGACUCAAAUGGCGACGAAAAUAUCUGUUUUUGUUACUGAAGAUCCACUUCAUAUACACACUUGUACUGAAGAUCUUACUGAAUUUCUUACUGGUCAAAAUGGUACUUACCUCAAUAGAUCUUACUGGCAAAAUGGUACACCUCAAUAGAUCUCACUGAAGAUCGCCUCAACUUUGAAUUUAACCAAUGCUAUUUCAGAAUGAUAGCAGUAUUGUAUUCCUGUUGUUUACUGACAAGGAAAUCAUAUGCUUGCAUUUCUUUUGUGCUACAUUUUACUGGCAAUCAGAGAAGAAAUUGUUAUGACAAAACCUCUUCUGUUUGCAGGGGAUGUUUCAAAGCACAGGAUUGAACAUGCUGUAAGUCAUAUAUCCGCAACCUUUGCAUAUCUGAAUUUUUUAAAAACUGCUCUAGCUCCAGGCCUCAUUUCAAUUGGGGAUCUUAAAUAUCGUGAUCCAAAUGCCUAGCGAUGCCAGUUACGUGAUUCUGUUAUGACCGGCGUCCAGUAUCAAAGGAGGCUAAGCCACCAUCGGCCAGGGGUUUAGGCGCAGGAGUUAGGGGCUAACAGCCCAUAUUUAUCUUUAUUUGUUUAUUUUCAUAAUUGAAGCAAUUAUUCAUAUAUAGGAGUUGUAAUUCUUGUGGACAGAAUUAAGCAAGAGUAAAUCUUAUUACUCGGCUUCCCUUGGGAGCCGGGAGUUUGCUCUAGCCGUCGCCUCCGUUCUCUUCUUCCUCGCGCGACCACGGCGCCCGCCGCCGUGCCGCGCACCCAGCCCCCCAACACACAUACAACCUUCGCUCGACCAAGGGAAGGGUACAGGUCCGUAUCAACCUGGUAUCAGCCAUGUCGAUCCCACCCUCAGCCACCGUUGUUCCGCCUUCAUCCACAACGGCGCCGCCCGUCUCCUCCGCUCUGCCCCAGGCGCCCAUGUCGACAUCGGCCCUGGUGUUGACCUCUUCACAGCCGCUGGCGUAGGGCGCGCCAGGGGCGCCGCGCGCCGUCUUCACGCCCGAGCAAACGACAUCCACGAUCGUCGAACUCAGCCACGACUUGGCUGAGCUGCGGCUGACGAUGACCAUGCUGCAGCUUUACAACAAUUCGACGCCGCAAUUUGGCGCACCGCCGCAGCAGCUGCUCCUGACGCAGUCGUCCCCGUUGGUCGCUUUCCACCACUCGGCGCCGGUCUCCUACCCCUACGGGAUGCCCGCCGACGUCGGGUUUUGGACGACAACAACGCCUACUUCGUCGUCCGUUCUGAUCCACCAGCUCCGUUUUCCGUCAUCGCCGUCCCCAGCGGCCAACUGCUUUGGCUCGCCCCGCCGCUAGGGGAGGACCUCUAGCCGCGGCGCCCACGCCUACUGCGCCGGCACUAACCGGCACCGCUACACCCGCCCACACCUUCCGUCGCUUGACACCGGCGGAGAUGCUCGAGCGCCGUCACCAGGGACUUUGUUACAACUGCGACGAGCAGUAUGUGUGCGGCCACGUCUGCCCACGUGUCUUCUACCUGGAGUCCUCUGACUACAUCGACGACGACGUGUUCACCGCAACAGAGGACACCGCGGACGCCACUGUCGAGAGCUAGCGCCACCAGAUGGCGCUGCUGCUCAUGCUCUGGUUGUCUCCGUGUAUGCUCUUGCAGGGAUCCACACCUACCACACCAUGCUGCUGCCCGUCACCAUCAAUGGGGAAUGCCUACUCGCGCUGCUGGCUCCACCCACACCUUCCUCUAGGACACGGUCAUGCGCCACCUGGGGCUUGUUCCGCGUGGUGGCAACAACCUCCGUGUCACUAUCGCGAACGGGGAGCGUUUUCCGUGCAAGGGGAUCGCCCGAGAUAUGCUCGUCCUCAUCGGCGGUGAGUCCUUCGCCAUCACGUGUGUGGGGCUCGCCCUCGGCUGCUUCGACUUCAUCAUCAGCGUCGACUUCCUAGGGGCUUUGGGACCUCUUCUGUGGGACUUCGAGGACCUCACCGUCUCCUUCUAGCGAGGCGACCAGUGCGUCACAUGGCAGUGCGUGGGUCCCCCGGGUGCUUCUUCACACCAGCCGCGCCUGGCCGCGACCACGGCCGACCAGCAGCGGCCACUAUUGGACUAGCUCCUACAGCAGCACAUGGCCAUCUUCGACAAGCCUCGUGGCCUCUCGCUCGUGCGCUCCUACGACCACCGCUUCCACCUCCUACCGGGGACCGCGCCGGUGGUGGUGCGGCCCUACCGAUACCCGCAGCUCUAGAAGGACAAGCUGGAGCGGCAAUGUGCCGCCAUGUUGGAGCAGGGCAUUAUUCGGCCGAGCACGUCACCAUUCUCCGCCCCUGUGCUGCUCGUCAAGAAGUCCGACGGGUCCUGGCGCUUCUGCAUCGACUACCGCGUGCUCAACGACAGGAUGUCCAAGGACAAGUUGCCGAUCCCGGUGGUCGACGAGCUCCGCGGGGCACGUUUCUUCACCAAGCUGGACCUCCGCUCGGGCUAUCGCUAAGUGCGCAUGCACCCGGCGGCCAUCGAGAAGACCGCUUUCCGCACCCACCACGACCACUUCGAGUUCUUGGUGAUGCCGUUUGGGCUGUCCAACGCUCCGGCAACGUUCCAAGCCCUGAUGAACGACGUCCUCUAGCCUUUUCUUCGCGGGUUCGUGCUGGUAUUCUUCGAUGACAUCUUGAUCUACAACUCAUUGUGGUCCAAGCACCUCCAGCACGUCGUCCUCGUCUUCUCCGCUUUGAGGGCUCACGGCCUCUACCUCAAGAGGUCCAAGUGCUCCUUUGGGACACUCUCCGUCGACUACCUCAGGCACGUCAUCUCUGCUGAUGGCGUCGCUAUGGACAGUGACAAGGUGGCUGUGGUCGCCGCGUUCACCUCGGGGCGUCUUUGGUUUUCUCGGCCUUGCGGGCUACUACUGCAAGUUCAUCCGCGACUUCGGCUCCAUCGUAGCACCACUCAAUCGUCUCCUGCGCAAGGAGGCGUUUGCUUGGACGUCGGAAGCGCGGCGGCCUACGACGCCCUCAAGAGGGCCUUGUCAUCAGCCCCUGUUUUGCAGAUGCUGGAUUUCACUCGUGAGUUCGUCGUCAACUGCGACGCCUCAGGCGCAGGCGUUGGCGCUGUUCUCCACCAGGGGUCGGGUCCCCUAGCAUUCUUCAGCAGACCCUUCGUCACCCGCCACAUCAAGCUCGCGGCCUAUGAGCGCGAUCUCAUCGGGCUAGUGCAGGCGGUCCGGCAUUGGCGGCCGUACCUAUGGGGACGUCGUUUCCUCGUCCGCACCGACCACUACAGCUUGAAGUUUUUGCUCGACCAGCGCCUUUCCACUGUUCCGCAACACCACUGGGUUAGCAAGCUGCUCAGGUUUGACUUCGCGGUGGAAUACCGCCCCGGCCGACUCAACUCGGUGACGGAUGCGCUGUCCCGACGCGACGAGGACGCAGUUACAGAACUUGCCUUGUCCGGGCCAUCCUUCGCCCUCUACGAUGACAUUCGGGCAGCCACUCGGGAGGACCCGGUGGCACGCGGCCUCCUGCAGCAGCAGGCCGCGGGGACGCUGGAGGCGCCCUGGACCAUCGCGGAUUGGUUCCUCCUUCGUGGCAAACGCGUCUACGUUCCCGACCUGCAGGACUUGUGCCAUCAGGUGGUGACCCUGGCACACACUACAGGGCAUGAGGGCGUCCACAAGACCCUCUUGCGUCUGCGCAAUGAUUUCUACAUCCCCAACGACCGCAAGCUUGUGCAAGACUACGUCUGCACGUGUGAUGUGUGCCAGCGCAACAAGACGCCCAUGACACAGCCGGCCGGUUUACUACAGCCCUUGGAUGUGCCUUCCCAAGUUUGGACCGACACCUCCAUGGAUUUCAUCGAUGCCCUUCCCAAGGUCCAUGGCAAGUCGGUCAUCUUGACGGUGGUGGACCGCUUCUCCAAGAAUGCGCACUUCAUCACUCUCAGCCACCCCUACACGGCCGCGUCGGUGGCCCGUGCUUUCUUCGAGGGGAUUGUGCGGCUUCAUGGCUUUCCCACCUCCAUUGUAGUGACCGCAAUCCAGUUUUCACUAGCCACUUGUGGAGGGAUUUGUUUCGCCUUGCAGGUGUGAAACAGCGGCUCAGCACGGCCUUUCACCCUCAGACGGAUGGCCAGUCUGAGGUUGUCAACAAGGUGAUCGCCAUGUACUUGCGUUGUGCGACCGACGACCGGCCGCGCUCAUGGGUCGACUGGCUACCGUGGGCGGAAUACUGCUACAACACGUCGUACCACACGGCACUUCGGGCGACUCCAUUCGAGAUUGUCUACGGUGGCCCACCACCUCCCCUUUUGCCUCACCAAGAGGGGGCGGCUGAGACGGAGGAUGCAGACGUCAUGCUCCGGGACCGCGACGUGUUCCUGGUCGAGGUCCGGGAGCGCCUCCUCCAGGCACAGCAACACGCCAAGGAGCGCUAUGACGAGCACCAUCGGGCUGUGGACAUUGCUGUGGGCGAUUGGGUGCUGCUCCGACUUCUUCACCGCCCCACACACACGCUCGCGACGCCAGCCAAGGGCAAGCUUCGUCCUCGUUAUGUUGGUCCGUUCUGUGUGCUGGAACGCAUUGGGUCGGUGGCCUAUCGUCUACAGCUGCCCGAGACUACACGCCUCCAUAAUGUUUUCCACAUCGGGCUACUCAAGCAGUGGCGUGGUGAACCUCCUGUGACGCCGGCGGUGGUGCCACCAGUCUUCGAGGGGCGCCUGCUUCCUGCCCCGGAGAAGGUUCUGUGCGCGCAACUACGCCGCGAACAGUGGCAGCUGUUGGUCAAAUGGCGCGGCCUUCCGGAUGAUGCUACGACAUGGGAAGCUCUCGACGACUUCAAAGCCCUAUACCCCGAUGUCCAGCUCGAGGACGAGCUGUUUGUCGACGCGGGGAGAGAUGUUAUGACCGGCGUCCAGUAUCAAAGGAGGAGCCGGCCCAUUAGUGGCUAAAGCCACCAUCGGCCAGGGGUUUAGGCGCAGGAGUUAGGGGCUAACAGCCCAUAUUUAUCUUUAUUUGUUUAUUUCCAUAAUUGAAGCAAUUAUUCAUAUAUAGGAGUUGUAAUUCUUGUGGACAGAAUUAAGCAAGAGUAAAUCUUAUUACUCGGCUUCCCUUGGGAGCCGGGAGUUUGCCCUAGCCAUCGCCUCCGUUCUCUUCUUCCUCGCGCGACCACGGCGCCCCGCCACCGUGCCGCGCACCCAGCCCCCCAACACACGUACAACCUUCGCUCGACCAAGGGAAGGGUACAGGUCCCUAUCAGAUUCUUUGCUUGCAGUUCCUAAAUGUGGAUCGUGAUUUACUUGACAUUCCAAAAACACAUGUCAUGACUUAUGAAUACUGCAGAUCUCUAGUUGUAGUCUCAGUCUAGUGUACUGUCAUCUCAGGAAUUCUGUGUUACUGGAAAUGUUGAACUAAACCCCUGCACCUCUUUUGCAUCUUGCAUCAUGCAUGCUUGUGUAUCCCUGAAAAAUCUUUGAGCAACUUCUGGUCUACACAUCAAACUGAUACUAUGUAUGCAGCUGAAGAAAAUGUACAGGGAGGGCGCAUACUGGGGUAACUAAUUGACCAAUUUGUGCCUUUUUGUCGCUUCAAACCCACAUAAUUUGUUUUGGCUUCUUUCCCUUCUUCAUUUAUACUCUGACUAAUGUACAAUAGUAUAAGUGCGUGAUAUUGUUGUAUUAUCGUGUAAGAUGCUAUUAGUCAUAUUAUUGUAAGACAAGCACUUCAAAGUUUUUGUGGAGCUACUUCUCAUAUGCAAUGAGGUGGUUGUAUAGGGCAACAGAGAAAGUUACAUAGAAAAUGACAAACCCUUUCACGACACAUAGUCAUUUCAUAUUUAUUUUACUUUGAGCCAAUUGUGAAUUCGUGAAUCUCGAGAUAUGCCGGCUCAGUACUUCAGAUGUGUUCAUAGGGUAGGGUUUGUGUAAAUAUGAUACGUAUUGUGAGCGUCUGUGUUGUAAUAUAUAAUUUUAGAAAAAAAAGGGACCAAGCUAGUGCAAAUGAUUUCUACCUCCAUGGAUCUUAUUUCUGGGUUCCCCCUGUUUUUACUGUAAUUUUUAAAUGUUGCUCUCCUCUUUCUAAUCCAGUAUAAGUACUACCUAGCUACUUUGUGUUUACAUGUUGCUCUCCUUCAAACUGGCAUCAGAUAAUUUGUGUUUACUCGUUGGGGGAGACAGGAGACACUAGCUCCUGCAUUUGUGUAGCCCGGCACACGUAGCUUCUCAGAGAUGCAUACGUGGCUCUGGACACAUCCAAAGUGAUUGCGCUACUCUUGAAUGCAUAUUCAGGCUUGACACCAACACAGUGAUCCAUCACUUACUAUGGGCCGUAGCCAGGGACCAAGUAGACCUGUUAAACAUGUUUACAUAGCAAUGAUAGUGUUUUUGAAUUUUUCUAGUUUUUUUAAAAUCUAUUUUUCUAGAGCUAAAUUUAUUUUUUGAAGCGGAGAUCUAAGUAUUUUAUGUAGAUUCUCUAUAAUCUUUUUUUUAAGAAUUUUAAAUGCUUAGAGACAUUGGUACCAAUUUUUUAACUAAAAAGGAUAAACCCAAUUUAUCCUCUCUGACGCCAUGUUAACAAUUGCUGUUCAAAACCAUCCAGAGUCGAAACAAACAAUUUUAAAAGUUAAGGAGACCUAAAAAUCUGAUCUUAAAUCUUUCUCUAAUAUAUAAUUAUAAAAAUUUCAGUCCACCAGGUAUCUUUCUUUCCGCCAAUAUUCUAUUUCCCGUGGGUGGCUGCCCAGGACUCGUCCGACAAGGAGGCAGGGCAGGAGUGCCCUGGCCGUGGUCCGACGUGCCAUGGCGAGGCGGGGCUCUCGCAACGCAGCAUCGCACAGAAGAGGAGAACGGGCGGCUGCGCUCGGGUGCCCUUCUGCUCACGGUCGACGAGUGCGAGCCAGAGCACGCCGUGGUGGUGGCGGCUCUAUUGUGGCGCGAUUGAGGAGGCUAGCUCGUCCGUGAUGCCAGCAGACGGAGGCAGAGAGGUCGCAGUUGCCGUGGAUUGCGACGCGGUGAGGCCCUAGUGAUGGGCGGACGCACUCCUGAAGUAGGGUCGCGGUGGUGGAGUUGCCGGUGUUGUGGCACGAUCAGGUGCUCGGCGGAUCAGAAGGGGAGGAGAGGAGUGGCAGAGGUGCUCAGCGAAGCUCGUCGCGACCAUAGCAGGGAGAGGAAAGGAGAAGGCGUGGUGGCGGCGGCGCUGAGGAGCUCCAAAAGAUGGGGGCGACGGCGGCCAUGGCUUAAAUAGUGCGCAGCACCUAGGGUUUGAGGAGCUCCGUUCAUCCUCGUCGUCAUGCCGUAGCGGGGCACGUGGCGCACAUCGAAGGGCAAGCAGGCAGGGUGUGCGCGGCUCGGCCUCCGAGCAGCGGCGGUGGCGCUGGCUCCUAGGAGCAGAGCACAUUAAGGUUAAGGGAUGGGCGCCGGCGGCUUGGGCCGCGCAUGGAUUCUGGGUCGCUGAGCUGGGCCGAGGGUGGACGCGGGGUGAAGUGGGCCAGCCUCGCAGCUGGGCUGCGCGGGGCACUGCACGACUAGGCCAGGAGGAGAAGUGGGCCACACGCGCGUAGGCUUGGGCCGUGGGAAGGAGGAGGUUAGCCGGGCCUGGCGGGGAAGAGGGAGGUGGGCGGGCGAAUGGGGGGAGGGCAGGCCGGGCAGGAAAAACGGAAUAUGCAUGAUAUGUCUAGUUUUGAAUAAAUCUUGAACACAAAAUAUGUUGUAUCUCCCGUUGCAACAUAUGGGCAUUUUUGUUAGUUUUUAUAAAGCAAAAACCCACUAACCUAUUUUUCUUAUUUCAUCAGCUAGCAUAGUCUCUACCGUCCAUACCAAACAGGCAAUAUUAAUAUACUACUCCAUCCUACGUCUACAGUAGAGUUUGAGUGCUUCUUCUAUGAACUGCCCGAUCCGUUCCAAGAUGACAGAAGCCAAUGAUCAAGGCGGAUCCUUCUCUGCAAAAUUCCACAGCAGCCGGCAGCCAGGCAUACAUCGCAAACUUCUGUCAUCCUCAGUUUCAAAGCUUCCUCUCAAUUCUUGCUGAGCCCCAUCCUAUACAUUUUUGUUAAUUUUUAAGUAGAACGAUUUGUUUUUAAUUUUUUACUUGCUAUUUAUCCAGUGUUUCUUUUAGUUUCUGCUGACAUGAACCUCUGACAUACAUCAUAUACGUUGUAUAGUAACUAAAUAGUAUUUUUCUCUGACGCUCUUUAUCAUGUUUGAUGAGAAACAUCAUCUCGAUUUCUACUUGCUCUCAACUGUUGGUGUCCCACAUCCCUAUAUGAGUUUUUUUUUGUAGAAUGUAUGGGUCGAUUCCGUUGCAGUUGCGUGAUGUACGUACACAUGCUAUUGUGCAAAUUAUAAAUAAUGUCUUUCGCACUUCCUACCCUAAUGCAUUUGUCGUUCACAAAAUACAAUUUCUUAAACUCCUGUAGCAACACGUGAGGUAUUCACCUAGUUUUAUAAAAAGGGGAUCGGACAAUCCUUUGUCAAAAUUAAAAUAUACAUGCAAACCACAUAUGCCACUUCAUAAAACAGCUACGAUAUCAAAGACAGCAAAUAUAUCAAACUCUGUACUCAUGUGCGUUUGAUAUUUCAGUUCCCUUACUCACAAACAAGAAAAAAAAUGGAUUGGUCUGAACCGAAAGAAAAUAUAAAAGCACUAGCUAGCCACGCCAUUUGAGCGGGCCACCUUGCUAGUUACUCCCUCCAUCGUCGUUUGACUUUUUUUUACCUCAAGUUUGACCACUCGUCUUAUUCAAAAAAUUUAUACAAAUAUAGUCAAAUUUAAGUCAUUCUUGAAGAACUUCUAUUAAUAAACCAAUACACAACAAAAAAAAAGUGAUAUUUUGUACAAAACUUUGAAUAAAACGAGUGGUCAAACUUGAUAUUAAAAAAGUCAAACGACUUACAAUUUACAAUUUAGAAUGGAUUGAGUAUAUAUGAACGUAAGUUGAUGGACAUGACAAUAUAUUAUAACUAAAAAUUACAAUGCAUCGGUACCAACGGUUGCAUUUGCCGUAUUCACGACGAAAUCGAUUACCACAAGAGGAAUGUGACUGACAAGGUGCCAGUCGGGCCCUGCCCCUCGCUUGUAACGCUCCGCCAAACCAGGGCAACCAUAAAUGCGCAAUUCCUCAAGAGCAGUUAGGCGUUGUAUGGAUUGGGGCAAGUAUUGAAGGGCAGGGGAAUGCUUGAUAUAAAGCGAACGAAGCGCAGAGAGUUGUCCAAUCCACUCUGGCAGCACCGUCAGUGAUGACAGUUCGAGAUGUUCAAGCGAGGUGAGGUGCUGAAUCGCCUCUGGGAACUGCUUCAAAUCGCCCAAUCCCAAUCCAAGGUGUCGCAGAGAGUGCAGUUCUCCAAGCCAGUCAGACAACGUGCCAACGGCGGGGCAUUCGUAGAUGCGGAGACGCUCGAGAGAGGUGAGCUUCCGCAUGCUCUCUGGUAACUGUGUCAGGUCAUUGCACCUGUAAAUACACAACUCUUUCAGCUCAGUGAGGUGCUGCAGCAGUUCCCAGCCAGAUGGUGAUCCUGUAACGUUGCUUAGCCCUAGACUCUUGAGGCGAGGGACCAACGCAUGCAUGCUGGGCAGCUGAUGGGAGAACCUUCCUGUGGAUAGCAGCUGCCCAUUGAUUCUGUUUAAAGACAUAUGCACCAACGAUGGUGGAAAGUAGGGGCUCACAUUUAAUUUCGGGCAGCCAUAUAUUUCUAGACUGGACAGGACAGGGAAAAGAUGUUGUGCUGCCAAUUCUUUCUCCCCAGUUUCAAAACCACUUGAUGUAGUCCACAGCUCCUCUAAAUUAGGCAUUUCCGCCAGAACAAGGUACUUCAGUGAAGGCAACUCAACAAAUCCUCUCAUAUGCCUCAAGUUUGGAAAUCUUUUUACCGUUAACCAAGUUAAACAAAGGAAAUGGGAUGCGAUAGUUUGCUUCAGCAUUAUACCACCUUCAAAAUAUGAAGAAUCAUUUUGCUUCAUCAUCCAUCCUGGCAGGCAGGGGCCUCUGUAAUUAUAGAUAUCCAAGCUCUCAAUUUGCGAUGGUGGUUCAAGAGCGUUCAGCACACCCCAAUCAUGUUCCAUAUCUGACACCAACUCUUCUUCAGAAUCACUUAGAGACCAGUUCAGCUCCAAGUUUUGUAUGUGACUCUUCCGCUUCAAGCAAGCCUUCUCUGCAUCACUUGGAUCCUUCAAAUACUUAAGGUUGGUAAUUUCCAAGCGACCACCUAUCAUAUCAAGGUUUUCUAGCUCUGAGAUCCUCGCAUCAUCUGCACCACACCCAACAACAAACAAUCCCAGCUCUCUUAAACGGGUCAGCUGUCCCAACCCUGUUGGUAAGCAGCAGAGUUUACUACAAUGCUUUAUGUUCAAAACUGCGAGCCUUUUCAAGUUUGCUAUGCCCUUAGGCAACUCCCGUAGCUCAUUGCAUCCCUCAAGGUUAAUACAUUCCAGAGUAUCGAUCGAUGUAACCCAUUGAGGUAGCAUGGUAACUUUGGUUUCAGAAAGGUUCAGAGUACGCAAUGUAGGACAGGAUAAUGUGCUUGGCAGGUCUUGCAAAUCCGUACAACCAUGAAAGUUAAUAGUUCGCAAGUUUUUGAACUCCCCAAUGAUGUCUGAUGGUAGUUGUUGCAGAGAUGAACAGUACUCUAUAUCAAGUACACAUAGGUUUCCAAUUCUACCUAAAGAGCUUGGUAUCUCUCGGAGCUUGCUGCAGGCAUAUAGUUGCAAGGACUGAAGAACAUAACAGUCACCAAUGGACUGAGGCAAACUCUCAAGAUCAGUAACCCAACGCAACUCUAGAGUCCUUAGCUUCCGAAGCGUUCCAACAGACUCAGGUAAUGUCACGAAACCUUUGCAGUCAACAAAAUUGAGUGACUGCAAGUUCCAAAACCUCGAGAUAGCUUCCGGAACUGUUGUACAACUAACAUUAUGGAUUUCAAGAUACCCAAGAUACUCAAACUUUAAUAUGAAUAGUGACAACGGAGUAUCAGUUGCAUAGUCCAAAACAACACUGCGCAUACAGCAACUACUCUUCACUGUGGUAUCAAAAGAUGUCUUACUGUCAGAGAUAUAUAGAGCACGGACCUUGUCAAAUACGCCCUUGUCAACAUUCUCAGUGAAUGAAGUCAAAGAUAAAUAUCUAUACCUAUGAGUAAAUUCUUCUGUUGUAUGAAUUGGUACACAAGUCACCAGCUCAUCCUUUAGUAUCUGCCGAGUGAGAUCAUGGAUCAAAUCGUGCAUGGUGUAUAUAUCAGUAUUCCAGCUCCCAUAAACUUCCUGAAGAAAUCUGACUUUUACAAGAGAAUCUAAGUAGUCUCUUCCGACAUCUUCGGGUUGCUCUCCAUUCAUUGCAUUGAUGAAUCCAUGAGCUAUCCAUUGGGCAAUCAAACGAUCUUUCCAGAUUCCAUAGCCCUUCGGGAAUAUGGAGCAAAACGUAAAACACUGCUUCAGUUCAUCUGCCAAAUGAAUAUAGCUCAACUUCAAGGAUGCAAACACUCUGUCUUUUAUACUCUGAACCUUCCAUAAAUUAUUCUCUCUUAUGGCCCUCCACGUACUUAUUUGCUUCUUGUCACGAAGGACUGCUCCAAGAGUUUGAAUUGCUAACGGCACCCCACCACAUCCCUUGAUAAUCUCUUUUCCGACUUGUACCUCAUCGGAGCUCAAUUCUUGCUCUGCCAACCCAGAACCCUUCAGGAAUAAGUUCCAACUCUCAGACUCUGAUAAGAAUGCCAACUCAAAUGUAUAUCUUGAUUCCACAGCUUGUGCAACCUUUCGAUCACGAGUGGUUAAAACAAUCCUUGUUUCAGGUGCGCCACAUUUUAGCUGCACCAUGAACUGUUCCCAGUCAUGUCUGUCCUCAUGCCAAGCAUCAUCAAGGAUAAGAAGAAACUUCUUAUUGCUCAACUUCUCGGAGAUUUUUUGGACCAUGUGCUGUGGGGGAUGACGAUCUGAAUUAUCUCCAACAAUCGUUUCAAAUAGCUUGCCGAUGAGCUUCUGAACAUCAAACUCUUGAGACACAUGGACCCAGAAUAUUUCACCUCCAAAGUGCUCCUUUAUCUUGACGUCAUGACAAAUGUGUUUCGCCAAAGUAGUUUUGCCUGACCCCCCUAAUCCGAUGAUAGAAACUAUCAUGUUGUUCUCUCCAGCAUUACAUUCUACAAGCUUAGAUAUGAUUUCAUCCUUUUCUUGAUCCCUAAGGGGUAUUUUGGACUCUGGAACCUUGCUCAACCAGGUCAUCUCUCCAACUGUCUUGUACCUAGCACCAACAUGUUGAUCCCUUGUUGGAACUAAAGUAUUGAAAUCACUUCUUUGCUUGACGAUUGCAGCAAAUCUAACCUUGAUUGCCUUGAUCUUAUGAGCCAUCUUGUAUCGGAAUGCAAAUGACUUUGGUUUUGCACAGAAGCAACCGGCUAUACCACUCUUGUCAUCAUCUCUUUCCAUCUUCUGUUUCUCAGCUUCAAGCUGGACUUCUUGUAGUAUAUCGUCAAUGUCAUAAGCCACAUCUUUCAAUUUUAUCACCCAGUGAGACUGUGUCUCACUCUGUAUUGCUCUGUCAUACGCUGCCGACAGCCAGCCUGUAAUGUCUGCGUGUAUAUCCUGGAGCUGGCAGAGAUCUCUUUUUACACCGGCUAUGGCAGCAAACUCAGUGGCUAACAGUGAAACUAGCUUGUCACCUGCAGCCUUCAACACUCCAGAUGCUAAAGCAGCCUCCAUCCCACUCAUUAUGUCAAAGAAACUGUUGCCUAAACCCCUGCAGAUGAAAUUGAAAAACAAGCGGUUAGAUUGAGUUUCGCAAAUCCAAAACUAGUUAGGUGGCAGCAGUAAUGUUUCUUAGGAAAAAUAACUUUUUAGGAAAUGUGGCGGCAGAAAUGUUCCAAUAAUAAUUCUCAACUCUGGAAUAAAUUAACGGCCGACAAAAUAUCUGAGAGUUACAGGCCACGCCGCCGCCCGGUCCAGACGCGGCGGCCAUGUCCUCUCUCUAGCGCCAGGCCAGCUGCAGCACCCUGCUGCCAUGCAGCCUGCCCUAGGGGGCUGUUGUUCCUCCCAUCUAAUCCCCUCUGACUCCCCCAAUCUACCCUCUAAUUAAGUGAAGUCACCCCAGAUGGGACAUGUACAACAUGAGUGAUUUGCAGAUUAUAUGUUUCGAACGAAAUGGACAAAUAUUGUCCGUAUCGGCUAAAUAUCUUAUAUGGAUAACACAAAAAGUCAUUUGGAUGCUGGAAAAUAGAUCUACUAGACCGAUCGGCGUGAAAACAAAUGGAAAAUUAAUUUGCAUACCAGGUGAACAAGGACACACACAGCAGAAGCAGCAGAGCACCGACAGUAUGACACUUUGAUGCAACCAGAUAAGGGGCUUUUUGUUCUUCUUCUUGUGAAAGAGGUGAAGGGAAUCAGUAUGCUUGACGCUCACUGGGAUUGACACAAAAAAAAAAGUAUGAGUUGGUCAUCGAAGAAAUUCUAGGAUUAACAGAAAAAAAACGUGAGUUGGUGAUUGAAGAAAAUGACCAGGGGAGAAAGCGGGAGGAGAUGUGAGGAAUUAGAUUGUGCGUGUUGUGUUAGGCUUAAACCAAAGCAGAUUAAGUACCUAAACUCAACAACUGCGGCGAGGCUACAACCCAACGAGAGAGAGGCCUGCAGAUCUGAAAGGCAGGUAGGUGAUGAAGAAAAUGAGCAGGUGGUUGAACCCAACGAGAAGGAGAAACAGGAUUCAGGCAAAGGUCAUCCUCAUUACCUCGGUCGCGUCGGCGGCGGCGACGACGAGAGGCCUCCCGCCCCUAGUCGGGUUGUGCGCGGAGGUCGAUGGUCAGUGAACUCACUGCUCACUUCUCACGCGCAUGGAGACUCCACGGAGACGAACGAAGAGAGGAUUGCGACUGAGCACCGGACGAUGCCUGCUUUGUGAGUUGGGUUUGUGAGUUGGGUGGUGGACCCCGGCAGCCACUGUGAGAGCACGAUUGCUUUUCGCCUCCCAGAAAGCGCGUGGCAAGAGCAUCCACUACAGUGGAUCCAGAAAAUACAUCCUCAUUCCCUACAAAGUGUUAGGCCUUACCUAGUUUAGUUCCAUUUUUUUUAAAAUUGUAUUUGACAAAUAUUGUUAGGUUCAAAAGAUUUAUCUCGUAAAUUAUAUUUAAAUGGUGUAAUUAGUUAUUUUUUAUCUAUAUUUAGUGUUUCAUGUAUGUACCGCAAGAUUUGAUGUGAUAUAAAUCUAAAAAAUUUUGCAAAACUUUUUGUGAGUAGUUCACCUAAAAACCAAAAACUUUUCAAGAUUCCUCGUUAUAUUGAAUCUUGUGGAACAUAAAAUAUAGAUUAAAAAAGUAAUUAAUUGUACAGUUUAGGCCUUAUUUAGAUCCAAAAAGUUUUUGGAUUUUGACACCGUAGCACUUUUAUUUUUAUUUGAAAAACAUUAUCCAAUAAUGGAGUAACUAGAAUUAAAAGAUUCGUCUCGUGAUUUACAGGCAAAAUGUGCAAUUAGUUUUUGUUUUCAUCUAUAUUUAAUGCUUAAAGCAUGUGCCGCAAGAUUCGAUAUGACAGAGAAUCUUGAAAAGUUUUUGGUUGUUUGGGUGAACUAAAUAAAGCCUUAGCUGUAAUUUGUGAGACGAAUCUUUUGAGUCUAAUUAGUCCAUGGUUGGACAAUAAUUGUCAAAUAAAAAUAAAAGUAUUACAGUACCUACAAACUUUUCACCUUUCAACUAAACGGCCUUACAAAUAAUAAAAGGGGUUAAUUAAGGAAGAAAAAUAAGCUCUAACAUGUUCUCUUUCUAGUACUCUUUCUUGAACUUUUUUUUCAAUCUCCCAAAAUCUUCCUCUCCCUUAAACUUUCCAUCAGUGUGAUUGAUCCACCAAAAAAAUCCAUGCGAACUGCAAAAAGAUAUUUAUCUUCCUCUCUCACAAUAAUUAUCUCUUUUGGUGUGCCUUGAGGCCCCUUCUUACUUACUUCUGCACUUUUUUUGUCUCUUUUUUAAACUUCUUUAUUUCAAUAAAAUCCCUGUGGGGGCUGAGACCCCUUCAGUUUCCUAAAAAAAACCCAAAUAAAUCUUGCCUAUUUUUCAAACCUAGCUUCUAAUUACGUCAACUCAAUUUUAUACUUUCAAAGUUAUCUCAUAGAUAGACAACUAAAAGAAUUAACGAUAGCAAAAUACUUCAAAUCCUUACAUGUAUACUUUAUUUAUUGACAAUAGCUAGUUCAUCAGUUGUUCAUCAAUUGUUCAUCCAAUGUGCAUCUGGUUAGUCUCACUGAGUUGAUGUGGUGUUUGGUUGCUUUGCGUGAGAACAUAUGUUGCAAGAUACUCCUAUAAAUUAGGCAAUAAACAUAAUCACGAUAUUUUUUAUACAUGCAACUAUCUUUUAUUGCUCUUGAUUUAUUAUAUUAUUAUCCCUUAAUAUUUUUUUAAAAGAAAUACACUAAUAUCAAUUAAGACAUGCUAGUCGUGCACUGGUAAUGUCAUUAUCUAGAUAACUGCUGUCAACCGAUAGCCUGGAGAAGAACCCAAAAAAAAUCUACUCCCUCCAUCCCAAAUUAUAAAAAUAUUAAACAAGGCCUUAACAAAUUCUGGAUACAAACAAUGCUCAGUUCGAACUCAUCUGGCAGGAGGAUGGUGUGCUACCAGCUGAUGAGUAGUGGGAUCCUAACGUGGGUGGUGUCCUGCCAAGUGCCAACACAUAAGCCGUGCUCAUUCUGGACCACACGCGACGCGAUCCCUCGUUUUGUCCGCGAUCGUUCAAUUCGUUCGUGUCCCUGGCGCUGGCGGCCUGAUGAUGAUCCAACAGCAGUGCCAGUACAGCACACCAACGCCAACGUACGCCGAGGAAGAAGACCAAUCCAUCCAUGGAGUCGCACGCACGGGCCUCACGAGAGGAGAGGAAGAUGAGAGACCAUGACCUGUGGCCCCUAGUAGCAGUGGCAAACCAGGGGGCAGGGGCAGACUAGGCCGUGUGGGGAUUGCACGCCGCCGAUUUCGUGUCCUUGCAGCCACCGUCCGCCACCGUCCAAUCUCCGCUUCUUUAUCUUCUCCGAGGUGAGAGCAGGGAGCCCAGGCGAUCCUCCUUCUCAGUUCUCACACACUGCCACAUACACACACAGCUGACCUGCCGCUGCCGCUGCCACUGCCAGGAAGGUAGGCCACUGCCAGGAUGCCCCGCGGCGGCUUCUCGGGGUCACUCAGGUCGCCCAAGAUCGACGUCGUCAUCGACAUGGGGAACCCCUUCCUCAACCGCACCGUCGACGGCUUCCUCAAGAUCGGCGCCUGCAAGGUGGCCGCCGAGGAGACCUUCGACUGCCUCCACAGGGGUGAGUGCGCGCGUCUCUCUGCCUCUGCUGCUAUAACAUCUUUUACUAUAUUUACAUUGAGUUUGAUCGAGCUGUGUUGACCUUUAGGAGCUUUUCAUGUGGUUAAAUUAAGAUAUUCACUUGCACACAUCUACCACAGCAUUCAUCAUCAAUCAUUAAAAUUGCUAAAAAUAUUAUCACUCACUGUCCCAAGUAUUGUUAUUCUCUCUCUAAAAAGAUUCAAUGCAGAAGAGGCAUGGGUUAUGCAAAAAUACGCGAGGAAAUAAAAAGAGGCAAGUGCCCGGAUCCUCGAAAAAGAAAGAAAAAGAGUGAGACGAGAGGUAAAAAUGGACAAGUGUCCGAAAUAGAAUUAGGGGUACAAAGAUGCCCACUUGAGCGGAAAAAAUGGACAAGUGUCCGACAGUAGAAUUAGGGGUAUCUACUACCCACCUGAAAAAAAAGAGAAAGAAAAGAUAGCCCAUGUUCUCCCAAAGCAAAGAUCAAAGAAGAGGAGAGAUAGCAAUAUGAGGAGCAAUGAGAACUAAGUUUCAUUAUCACUUAUGCAUUUUCACCAUCACUAUCAUUUACUCCAUCACACAUGCACAUCUUGAUUUAAUUAUAUGCUGAGUUCCUUUGGAUCCAUGGCUCGAUUAGACAAUAUAUGUAUGAGCUGUUUUUCACUCCUAUGAGCUCCCCUUAAAUAUUCCAUUAAGCUAUAGGAAAGUGAUAUCAUGGUAAGGAUCCACAAAUACCACAUAUAGAGAGACUUGAGAGAAUCAUUGCUGGGAACUCUGAGUUUUAUUUUGAAAACUUAUGAAAAACUCUGGAACAAAGGUGAAGUAUAAACAGGAGGGAUAGUGCUUGACUUAACUAUUUUGUCUUUCGAUUACUUAAGAUUUAAGUGCAGGUACUAAACUUCAUAACACUUCACUUUAAUCUGGAAGAAUUUUGUAUAAAAGCAUGUGUGCCUGUCAGAAAAGAAAACAUCGAAGCAACUCCUGAUCCGUCUGAGUUUAGCUGUUUGCUCAGGGACGAGCAAAGGGUAAGCUUGGGGGAGUUUGUUGACGGUCCUUAAGUACUAAAAUUAAUAAUCAGAUAAACAUGAAAAAGGAUCAAUAUGAAACAAACAUCUAGAAUUAGGGUUUUAUCUGACAGAAUUCCACGAGCUUUGGUGUUUAUCUAUUUCUGCAGGGGUUUAUCAGAAAAUAUGGAGAGAAGGCCCACAUGUCAUGUUUACAACGAGAUAAUUACGUGUCGCGCAAUUUUCCUCAAUCUAGAAGGAUCCAGAAGCCACGGGAACGAACGGGACGCGAUUCGGGCUCGGGGGCUGGGCGGCCGCCCACCCUCCUUGGGCGCCCGCCCAGGUGGAGAGUCCAAUCAGGACUCUGCUUCGGGACAAUCCUCCACCGACCUAAAGGAUCAAUCUAAACCAUACAAUCUAUGUCGGUUUGAUCCAAUGGCUCACGUUCACUUGAGGGGACUAUAAAACCAGACCCCCUGGCCCCUGGAGGAGAGGAGGAGAAAUCAUUAUUCAGAGGUAGCCAUCAAAGUUAGGGUUUAGAGCUUCUCUCCCACAGAGAAUUAGAAUUAGCUACUCCCUAAUCUUUCAAGUUUAGAGGUUGAUUAGAUAGCAAUUAGAGAAGUAGAGCACUACGCUCUGGAUUCGGAUCUUCGGUAAUAAAGAUUGGUAUUAUUCAUAUCUUUCUCUAAUUCUAUUGUUCUAAUUGCAUUAUGUCUUUAAUUAUUAUGUUCUUAGUUUGCUCUAGUUCUAUAUUUGAUAUAGUUCUAAUUGAUAAUGAGUUUAUGUAUAAGUUUGCAAAGCGCUUAGCUCUUGUCGCGAGGGAGUUAGGUGAUAGAUCACAUGUAAGCGUGGUGCUUAGAUGUUAUUUAUCUGCAAAUGUAUCCUAUUGGCCGAGUCGUGUGGUAGUUCGCGAUAGUGACAGCUUCGUUGAUUCUUAUAUAGUCCACCCUCCGUUGAUAGGACAGGCAGAACCGGUAUUGUGGAGUAAGUCAUGCGAUGUUCUGAUUUACUUUAUCAAUGUUCCUUAUACAUGAAUGAAGAGUCUUUUAUGCUAUAUAUGAUCUUGUAGAUAACUAGAGUAGAUUAUGACUUAGUAGUUAGUAGAUAACUUAGAAUCCAUUCUCUAGCUAAUCCGACAUCACCUACAUAUAUGAGGAGUAGUCUAUUUUCUAAUCGCUGUGCUCUUUAUCCCAUGAACUUACACUUUAUUAUCAUUAUCUUUAUGGUUUACCCCCUGCUAAAGUAUGUGACUGUGUGACGAGUUUCUCAUUAGUAAUCAUGUUCUUGCAAGUUUAUCUCUAGUCUAUGCCUUGAUAGAUUUUGCCCAUUGAUUUAAUUCCAUUUUCCUUAGAUCCCUAAGCAAAAUUAUAAAUAACGAUACCUGGAAUACUUAUCCUGGUGAAAUGCUACAAUGAGGUGUUUUAUCUGUGCGCUUGCGGAUAGAAUAGAUUAUUUUCUAGAGAGCCUUUACAUUUAUAAAUACCUUUGUACACUCUGGCGCCAUGCUAGGGAUGACAACCUAGUAUCUAAGUGGUGUUAGCUAGUGUCAACACCGCCCCAGGCGCCCACGUCCACAUCGGCCCUGGUGUCGACCUCUUCCCAGCCGCUGGCGCAGGGCGUGCCGCGCGCCGUCUUCACACCCGAGCAAACGACAUCCACGAUCGUCGAAAUCAGCCACGGCUUGGCUGAGCUGCGGCUGACGAUGAACACCAUGCUGCAGCUUUACAACAAUUCGACGCCGCAGUUUGGCGCACCGCCGCAGCAGCCGCUCCUGACGCAGUCGUCCCCGUCGGUCGCGUUCCACCACACGGCGCCGGUCUCCUACCCCUACGGGAUGCCCGCCGACGCCGGGUUUUCGACGACAACAGCGUCUACUUCGUCGUCCGUUCCGAUCCACCAGCUCCGUUUUCUGUCAUCGUCGUCCCAGAUCCCGCCAUGGGCGCUGACCUACUCUGGGCCGGUCUACACAUCGGCACCCCAUCGGUUGCACAUGCCCGAUCAUGGCGCACCGUCGGUGUCAGGCACCCCCUACAGCAGCGUGGCGCCCUCGGCUCCACCCUACUAUGACCCCGGCUACGAGGGGUGCCCCUGCAUCUACGCAGGGCAACGGUUCGCCUAAGUUCCACAAGAUCGAGUUCACGACGUACGACGGCUCAGUCGAUCCGCUGAACUGGCUCACGCAAUUUGAGCAAUUUUUUUGGGCCCAACUCACGUCGGCAUCUCAGCGCACCUGGAUGGCGUCCUAUCACCUCACACGUGACGCCCAGACAUGGUACUAUGCCCUCGAGGAGGACGAGGGCCAGCCGCCAUGGGAUCGAUUCAAGGACUUAUGUCGUCUUCGCUUCGGACCGCCCAUUCGUGGUACUCGCUUGGCUGAGCUGGGCCAGCUGCCCUUCCACUCCAUGGUGGAGGAGUUCGCAGGCUAUUUUCAGGCGGUCCUGGCUCACACCCAGGACAUCUCCACCCGCCAGAAGGCGGAGCUCUUCGUCGGAGGACUGCCUAACCACAUCGGCGUGGACGUGGAGAUGCACGACCCUAGCGACCUCCAGACAGCCAUGUACUUGGCACGCGCCUUCGAACGCAAGGCCUUAGCUCUCGCAGCACCAGCACAGCGUGGCGCUCGCCCUCCCUAGCGGCCGAUUGCUUCGGCUCGCCCCACCGCUAGGGGAGGACCUCCAGCCGCGGCGCCCACGCCUACUGCGCUGACACCGACCGACACCGCUACACCCGCCCGCACCUUUCGUCGCUUGACACCGACGGAAAUGCUCAAGCGCCGUCGCCAGGGACUUUGUUACAACUGCGACGAGUAGUAUGUGCGCGGCCACGUCUGCCCACAUGUCUUCUACCUGGAGUCCUCUGACUACAUCGACGACGAUCUAUUCACUGCGACGGAGGACGCCGCAGACGCCACUGUCGAGAGCCCCAUGGCGCCACCAGACGGCGUUGCUGCUCGUGCUCUAGUUGUCUCCGUGUACGCUCUUGCAGGGAUCCACACCUACCACACCAUGCUGCUGGCCAUCACCAUCAAUGGGGAAUGCCUACUCGCGCUACUGGACACUGGCUCCACCCACACCUUCCUCUAGGGCACGGUCAUGUGAAAGCCCUAGUUUGGUUUUGGAUAAUUGAUGAAACCCUAGUACUAAUCUCUAUACUAAGUGUGUGUAGACUUAAUGAGGUUGGUAUAUGCCAAGUGAUGGAGCAAGUGAUGAUCAUGGUAAUGAAGGUGAUGACCACAAGAUGAUCAAGUGCUCAACUUGGAUAAGAAGAAAGAGAAAAACAAAACCCUAUGGAGUUCAAGGCAAAUGUAUUGCUUAGGGUUUUGGUUUUGGUGAUCAAGACACCAUAGAGGGUGUGAUCACAUUUAGAAUAGAUAGCCGUACUAUAAAGAGGGGAAUUCUUUGGCUAAACGGUUAUCAAGUGCCACUAGGUGUCAUUGUUCAUGUGCAUGCAUUUAGAACCUAGUGAGCUAACUUUAACUCCUUCAAAGAAAAUGUUUGUGAAAAUGCUAACACACGUGCACUUGUUGGUUUACACGUUGUGGUGUUGGCACACUUUGAGAAGGAGGUGGAGUUUGAAGAGUAGAGAGAGGAUGGGUUCGGAUUCGGCGCUUUUCGAGAAAAUGAAGUGCAUAUUUUCUAUUGCGCCGGUGGGAAAUUUGGAGAAGUCGUGGGAGUGUUUCUCGCUGAGGAACACUCACCGGACGCUGGCUCAGAGGCACCGGACGCUGUGUCUGAGCGUCCGGUGUGCAGGCUGCCUGACUCGGUUAGGGUUAGGCACCGGACGAUAGGCACCGGACGCAGCUUGGAGCGUCCGGUGGUGCGCGUCCGGUGUGCGGGCGUUUUGCGACCCUCUCUGCACAUGGGUCCGGUGAGCACCGGACGCUAAGGGUGCGUCCGGUGGCUUGCGUCCGGUGACCCUGCGAGUUUGCGGAGCUAUCUGCGCAUGAGUCCGGUGAGCACCGGACGGUCCGGUGCUAACUUGCUCAGCGUCUGGUGCUCUGCAGGUGACCGUUAGACUCUGACACGAGCGUUUCAAAAGGUGACACGUGGCUGACGUUGGAGCACCGGACGCUGGUGCUGAGCGUCCGGUGCCCCUUUAAGAGCGUCCGGUGACCCCGUGUUUUGCCCAGUGAAAGAGCCAACGGCUCUAUUUGUUUGAUGGGCUAUAUAUACGUGUUUGUCCGGCUUGGGGCUCACUCUCUUGGCAUUCUAACAUACUUGACAUCCUUGUGAGCCUAAGCAAACUCCUCCCACUCAUCUCCUUCAUAGAUUAUACAUCUUUGUGAGAUUGGGAGUGAUUCCAAGUGCAUUUGCUUGAGUGAUUGCAUCUAGUGGCACUUGGGGAUCGUUCUAGCUGCAGUUUUCUUGUUACUCUUGGUGGUUGCCGCCACCUAGACGGCUUGGAGCAGCGGAGGAGGAUUGGCACGAGUUGGUGAUUGUUCGUGGCCAUCUCCCGGUGAUUGUGAGGGGUCUUGUACCUUCCCCGGCGGAGAGCCGAAAGGUAACUCUAGUAAAGUGCUCGUGUCAUUGAGUUACCUCACUUGUAGGUAGGUUCUUGUGGUGUUCUAGUGAGGACGAGGUUCGUGCAACACCUCUUAGCCACCGAACCACCAAGUGUUGGUCGACACAACGGGGACGUAGCGUGCCGGCAAGCACGUGAACCUCGGGAGAAAAAUUGUGUGUCUCCAUUGUGAUUGUUCAUUGGAUUUCUCUCGGUGAUUGGACUUCAUAUUAUUGAUUGGUUCAUCCCCUCUACGCGGCGGUAUAAAAAUCAAACUAUCUCUUUUUACAUUCCAGCAAACUAGAGUAGCUUACCUACUUGCAUAGAAACUUUUAGGUAGCUUUCUAGUGUAAGUAGUGACAUAGCUCUUGUGUGCCUAGUGAUUAUAUCAACUAGAAUUGUUGGAUAGGUGGCUUGCAAACACCCCAUUAGAGCUAGAGCAAAAAGCUUCGCUUUGUUAUUAACUAACCUCUUGCUCUAGUGAGUUUGUAGAAUUUUUAAAUAGGCUAUUCACCCCCCCUCUAGCCAUAUUAGGACCUUUCAUCAUGCGCCGCCUGGGGCUUGUUCCGCGUGGCGGCAACAACCUCCGUGUCACUGUCGCGAACGAGGAGCGUUUUCCAUGCAAGGGGAUCGCCUGAGAUGUGCCCGUCCUCAUCGGCGGCGAGUCCUUCCCCGUCACGUGUGUGGGGCUCGCCCUCGGCUGCUUCAACUUCAUCAUCGGCGUGGACUUCCUAGGGGCUUUGGGACCUCUUCUGUGUGACUUCGAGGCCCUCACCGUCUCCUUCUAGCGAGGCGACCAGCGCGUCACGUGGCAGUGCAUGGGUCCCCCAGGUGCUUCUUCACACCAACCGCGCCUGGCGGCGGCCACGGCCGACCAGCAGCGGCCACUGUUGGACUAUACAGCAGCACGUGGCCAUCUUCGACGAGCCUCGUGGUCUCCCGCUCGUGCGCUCCUACGACCACCGCAUCUACCUCCUACCGGGGACCGCGCCGGUGGCGGUGCGGCUCUCUCGAUACCCGCAGCUCUAGAAGGACAAGCUGGAGCGGCAAUGCGCCGCCAUGUUGGAGGAGGGCAUUAUUCGUCCGAGAACGUCACCAUUCUCCACCCCCAUGCUGCUCGUCAAGAAGUCCGAUAGGUCGUGGCGCUUCUGCAUCGACUACCGCGCGCUCAACGACAGGACGUCCAAGGACAAAUUCCUGAUCCUGGUGGUCGACAAGCUCCGCGGGGCACGUUUCUUCACCAAGCUCGACCUCCGCUCGGGCUAUCACCAAGUGCGCAUGCACCCGGCGGACAUCGAGAAGACCGCUUUCCACACCCACCACGGCCACUUCGAGUUCUUGGUGAUGCCGUUUGGGCCCCCAACGCCCCGGCAACGUUCCAAGCCCUGAUGAACGAAGUCCUCCGGCCUUUUCUUCGCAGGUUCGUGCUGGUAUUCUUCGAUGACAUCUUGAUCUACAGCUCAUCGUGGUCCGAGCACCUCCAGCACGUCGUCCUCGUCUUCUCCGCUCUGAGGGCUCACGGCCUCUACCUCAAGAGGUCCAAGUGCUCCUUUGGGGCACUCUCCGUUGACUACCUUAGGCAUGUCAUCUCUACUGACGACGUCGCUAUGGACAACGACAAGGUGGUUGUGGUCGCCGCGUUCACCUCGGGGCGUCUGUGGUUUUCUCGGCCUUGCAGGCUACUACCGCAAGUUCAUCCGUGACUUUGGCUCCAUCGCAGCACCACUCACUCGUCUCCUGCGCAAGGAGGCGUUUGCUUGGACGUCGGAAGCGGCAGCGGCCUUCGACACCAUCAAGAGGGCCUUGUCAUCAGCCCCUGUUUUGCAGAUGCCGGAUUUCACUCGCGAGUUCGUCGUCGACUGCGGCGCCUCAGGCACAGGCUUUGGCGCUGUUCUCCACCAGGGGUCGGGUCCCCUGGCGUUCUUCAGCAGACCCUUCGUCGCCCGCCACGUCAAGCUCGCGGCCUACGAGCGUGAGCUCAUCGAGCUAGUGCAGGCGGUCCGGCAUUGGCGGUCGUACCUAUGGGGACGCCGUUUCCUCGUCCGCACCGACCACUACAGCUUGAAGUUUCUGCUCGACCAGCGCCUUUCCAUUGUUCCGCAACACCAGUGGGUUAGCAAGCUGCUCGGGUUUGACUUCGCGGUGGAAUACCGCCCCGGCCGACUCAACUCGGUGGCGGAUGCGCUGUCCCGACGCGACGAGGAUGCAGUUGUAGCGCUCGCCUUGUCCAGGCUGUCCUUCGCCCUCUACGAUGACAUUCAGGCAGCCACUCAGGUGGACCCGGUGGCACGCGGCCUCCUGCAGCAGCAGGCCGCUGGGACGCUGGUGGCGUCCUGGACCAUCACGGAUGGCUUUCUCCUUCAUGGGAAACGCGUCUACGUUCCUGACCUGCAGGACUUGCGCCAUCAGGUGGUGACCCUGGCACACACUACAGGGCAUGAUGGUGUCCAGAAGACCCUUGUGCGUCUGCGCAGUGAUUUCUACAUCCCCGGUGACCGCAAGCUUGUGCAAGACUAUGUCCGCACGUGUGGUGUGUGCCAGCGCAACAAGACGCCCACGACACAGUUGGCCGGUUUACUACAGCCCCUGGAUGUGCCUUCCCAAGUUUGGGCCGACAUCUCCAUGGAUUUCAUCGACGCCCUUCCCAAGGUCCAUGGCAAGUCGGUCAUCUUGACGGUGGUGGAUCGCUUCUCCAAGUACGCGCACUUCAUCGCUCUCAGCCACCCCUACACGGCCGCGUCAGUGGCCCGUGCUUUCUUCGAGGGGAUUGUGCGGCUUCAUGGCUUUCCCACCUCCAUUGUCAGCGACCGCGAUCCGGUUUUCACCAGCCACUUGUGGAGGGAUUUGUUUCGCCUUACAAGUGUGAAACAGCGGCUCAGCACGGCCUUUCACCCUCAGAUGGACGGCCAGUCUGAGGUUGUCAACAAGGUGAUCGCCAUGUACUUGCGUUGUGCGACCGACGACCGGCCGCGCUCAUGGGUCGACUGGCUACCGUGGGCAGAAUACUGCUACAACACGUCGUACCACAUGGCACUUUGCGUGACUCCAUUCGAGAUUGUCUACGGCCGCCCACCACCUCUCCUUUUGCCCCACCAAGAGGGGGCGGCUGAGACGGAGGAUGCAGACGUCAUGCUCCGGGACCGCGACGCAUUCCUGGUCGAGGUCCGGGAGCGCCUCCUCCAGGCACAGCAACACGCCAAGGAGCGCUACGACGAGCACCAUCGGGAUGUGGACUUUGCUGUGGGCGAUUGGGUGCUGCUCCAACUUCUUCACGCCCCACACACACACGCUCGCGACGCCGGCCAAGGGCAAGCUUCGUCCUCGCUAUGUUGGUCCGUUCCGUGUGCUAGAACGCAUUGGGUCGGUGGCCUAUCGUCUACAGCUGCCCGAGACUACACGCCUCCAUGAUGUUUUCCACAUCGGGCUGCUCAAGCACUGGAGUGGUGACCCUCCUGUGACGCCGGCGGUGGUGCCACCAGGCUUCGAGGGGCGCCUGCUUCCUACCCCGGAGAAGGUUGUGCGCGCGCAGCUACGCCGUGGACAGUGGCAGCUGUUGGUCAAAUGGCGCGGCCUUCCGGAUGAUGCUGCGACAUGGGAAGCUCUCGACGACUUCAAAGCCCUAUACCCCGAUGUCCAGCUCAAGGACGAGCUGUUUGUCGACGCGAGGAGAGAUGUUAUGACCGGCGUCUAGUAUCAAAGGAGGCGCCGGCCCAUUAGUGGCUAAAGCUACCAUCGGCCAGGGGUUUAGGCACAGGAGUUAGAGGCUAACAGCCCAUAUUUAUCUUUAUUUGUUUAUUUCCAUAAUUUAAGUAAUUAUUCAUAUAUAGGAGUUGUAAUUCUUGUGGACAGAAUUAAGCAAGAGUAAAUCUUAUUACUCGGCUUCCCUUGGGAGCCGGAAGUUUGCCCUAGCCGUCGCCUCCGUUCUCUUCUUCCUCGCACGACCACGGCGCCCCGCCGCCGUGCCACGCACCCAGCCCCCCAACACACAUACAACCUUCGCUCGACCAAGGGAAGGGUACAGGUCCGUAUCAGAUUCUUUGCUUGCAAUUCCUAAAUGUGGAUCGUGAUUUACUUGACAUUCCAAAAACACGUGUCAUGACUUAUGAAUACUGCAGAUCUCUAGUUGUAGUCUCAGUCUAGUGUACUGUCAUCUCAGGAAUUCUGUGUUACUGGAAACGUUGAACUAAACCCCUGCACCUCUUUUCCAUCUUGCGUCAUGCAUGCUUGUGUAUCCCUGAAAAAUCUUUGAGCAACUUCAGGUCUACACAUCAAACUGAUACACUUUCACAAUAUGUAUGCAGCUGAAGAAAUGUGCAGGGAGGGCGCAUACUGGGGUAACUAAUUGACCGAUUUGUGCCUUUUUGUCGCUUCAAACCCACAUAAUUUGUUUUGGCUUCUUUCCCUUCUUCAUUUAUACUCUGACUAAUGUACAAUAGUAUAAAUGUGUGAUAUUAUUGUACUGUCGUGUAAGAUGCUAUUAGUCAUAUUAUUGUAAGGCAAGCACUUCAAAGUUUUGUGGAGCUACUUCUCAUAUGCAAUGAGGUGGUUGUAUGGGGCAACAGAGAAAGUUACAUAGAAAAUGACAAACCCUUUCACGACACAUAGUCAUACCAUAUUUAUUUUACUUUGAGCCAAUGGUGAAUUCAUGAAUCUCGAGAUAUGUCGGCUCAGUACUUCAAAGGUGCUCUUAGGGGUAGGGUUUGUGUAAAUUUGCUCAUAGGGAUGAGUAUGCGUACGUAUUGUGAGCAUCUGUGUUGUAGUGUGUAAUUCUAAAAAAAAGGACUGAGCUAGUGAAAAUGAUCUUUACCUCCAUGGAUCUUAUUUCUGGGUUCCCCCUGUUUUUACUGUAACUUUUACAUGUUGCUCUGGACACAUCCAAAGUGAUUGCGUUACUCUUGGAUGCAUAUUCAGGCUUGACACCAACACAGUGAUCCAUCACUUACUAUGGGCCGUAGUCAGGGACCAAGUAGACCUGUUAAACAUGUUUACAUAGCAAUGAUAGUGUUUUUGAAAUUUUCUAGUUUUUUUUUAAAUCUAUUUUUCUAGAGCUAAAUUUAUUUUUUGAAGCGGAGAUCUAAGUAUAUUAUGUAGAUUUUUCUAUACUAUUCUGUCUCUAUAAUCUUUUUUAAGAAUUAAAUGCUUAGAGACAUCUUCUGUGGUACCAAUUUUUUAACUAAAAAGGAUAAACCCAAUUUUAUCUCUCUGACGCCAUGUUAACUAUUGCUGUCCAAAACCAUCCAUAGUGGAAACAAACAAUUUUAAAAGUUAAGGAGACCUAAAAAUCUGAUCUUAAAAAAAAAUAUAAAGCAAAAACUCACUAGCCUAUUUUUCUUAUUCCACAGCCCUCCACAUCAUCGUUCCCUCCUCAGUUAUUGUCCGUUCGAUUUCAUCAGCUAGUGUCUACCGUGCAUACCAAACAGGCAACAUCAAUAUACUACUCCUACGUUCACAGUAGAGUUUAGGUGCUUCUUCUAUGAACUGCCCCAUCCGUUCCAAGAUGACAGAAGCCAAUGAUCAAGACUCAAGAGGCGGAUCCUUUUCUGCACAAUUCUACAGCAGCUGGCAGCCAGGCAUAAUCACAAACUUUUGUCAUCCAGUUUCAAAGCUUCCUCUCAAUUCUUGCUGAAUCCCAUCCUAUACAAUUUUGUUAAUUUUUAAGUAAAACGAAUUAUUUUUAAUUUUUUACUUGCUAUUUAUCCAGUGUUUCUUUUAGUUUUUGCUGACAUGAACCUCUGACAUACAUCAUAUACAUUGUAUAGUAACUAAAUAGUAUUUUUUUUUUCUCUCAGGCUCUUUAUCCUGUUUGAUGAGAAACAUCAUCUCGAUUUCUACUUGCUCUCAACUGUUGGUGUCCCACAUCCCUAUAUGAGUUUUUUUUGUAGAAUGUAUGGGUCGAUCCCGUUGCAGUUGCGUGAUGUACGUACACAUGCUAUUGUGCAAAUUAUAAAUAAUGUCUUUCGCACUUCCUACCCUAAUGCAUUUGUCGUUCACAAAAUAUCAUUUCUUAAACUCCUGCAGCAACCCGUAAGGUAUUCAUCUAGUUCUAUAAAAAAAGGGAUCGUACAAUCUUUGUCAAAAUUAAAAUAUACAUGCAAACCACAUGUGCCACUUCAUAAAACAACUACGACAUCAAAGACAUCAAAUAUAUUUAACUCUAUACGCAUGUGCGUUUGAUAUUUCAGUUCCCUAGCUACCGGCGCCAUUUUAGCGGGCCACCUUGCUAGUUACAUAUGAAUGUAGGUUGAUGGACAUGAUAAUAUAACUAAUAAUACAAUGCAUCGGUAAUAGUCUUACAGGCAGCAGAAUGUACCAACGGUUGCAUUUGCCGUAUUCACGCAUAGAUUUCCACACAAGGAAUGUGACUGACAAGGUGCCAGUCGGGCCCUUCCCCUCGCUUGUAACGCUCCGCCAAACCAGGGCAACCACUAAUGACCAAUCUCUCAAGAGCGGUUAGGCGUUGUAUGGAUUGGGGCAAGUAUUGAAGGGCAGGGAAAUGCUGGGUAUAAAGCGAACGAAGCGCAGAGAGUUGUCCAAUCCACUCCGGCAGCACCGUCAGUGCAGGACCUGAUGACAGGUCGAGAUGUUCAAGCGAGGUGAGGUUCCGCAUGCUCUCUGGUAACUGUGUCAGGUCAUUGCACGUGUCAAUAUACAACUCUUUCAGCUCAGUGAGGUGCUGCAGCAGUUCCCAGCCAGAUGAUGAUCCUGUAACUUCGCUUAGCCAUAGACUCUUGAGGCGAGGGACCAACGCAUGCAUGCUGGGCAGCUGAUGGGAGAACCUUCCAGUGGAUAGCAACUGCCCAUUGGUUCUGCCUAAA
rnacentral:lncRNA from 1 species